rnacentral:rRNA from 1 species
GAUAAACGCUGGCGGCGUGCUUAACACAUGCAAGUCGAACGAAGUUUUUCCUUCGGGAGCAACUUAGUGGCGGACGGGUGAGUAACGCGUGGGUAACCUGCCCUGUACAGGGGGACAACAGCUGGAAACGGCUGCUAAUACCGCAUAAGCACUUAGCACUGCAUGGUGCAUAGGGAAAAGGAGCAAUCCGGUACAGGAUGGACCCGCGUCUGAUUAGCCAGUUGGCAGGGUAACGGCCUACCAAAGCGACGAUCAGUAGCCGAUCUGAGAGGAUGUACGGCCACAUUGGGACUGAGACACGGCCCAGACUCCUACGGGAGGCAGCAGUGGGGAAUAUUGCACAAUGGAGGAAACUCUGAUGCAGCGACGCCGCGUGAGUGAAGAAGUAUUUCGGUAUGUAAAGCUCUAUCAGCAGGGAAGAAAAUGACGGUACCUGACUAAGAAGCACCGGCUAAAUACGUG